rnacentral:rRNA from 1 species
UACGGAGGGUGCAAGCGUUGUCCGGAAUCACUGGGCGUAAAGGGCGCGUAGGCGGCUCAUGAAGGCUGUGGUGAAAGUCCGGGGCUCAACCUCGGAUCGGCCGUGGCGACUCGUGGGCUGGAGCACUGUAGGGGCGGGUGGAAUUCCGGGUGUAGCGGUGGAAUACGUAGAGAUCCGGAAGAACACCAGUGGCGAAGGCGGCCCGCUGGGCAGUGGCUGACGCUGAGGCGCGACAGCGUGGGGAGCAAACAGG